AGUUGUUGUGGUUAAAAAGCUCGUAGUUGGAUCUCAACAGCCUUGAAGCGGUUAACUUUGUAGUUUUACUGCUUUAUAGGCUGUGCUUUUGCUGGAGGUUUAGGGGUGCUCUUGAUCGAGUGUCUCUGGAUGCCAGCAGGUUUACUUUGAAAAAAUUAGAGUGCUCAAAGCAGGCUAAAAUGCCUGAAUAUUCGUGCAUGGAAUAAUAGAAUAGGAUGUCGAUCCUAUUUUGUUGGUUUUCGGGACUCGACAUAAUGAUAAAUAGGGACAGUCGGGGGCAUUUGUAUUCAAACGACAGAGGUGAAAUUCUUGGACCGUUUGAAGACAAACUACUGCGAAAGCAUUUGCCAAGAAUGUUUUCAUUAAUCAAGAGCGAAAGUUAGAGGUUCGAAGGCGAUUAGAUACCGCCCUAGUUCUAACCAUAAACGAUGCCAGCUAGCGAUCUGCCUGCGUUUUUACUGUAGACUGGGCAGGAAGCUUCCGGGAAACCAAAGCAUUUGGGUUCCAGGGGAAGUAUGGUUGCAAAGCUGAAACUUAAAGGAAUUGACGGAAGGGCACCACCAGGAGUGGAGCCUGUGGCUUAAUUUGACUCAACACGGGAAUUCUCACCAGGCCCGGACACUGGAAGGAUUGACAGAUUGAUAGCUCUUUCU
rnacentral:rRNA from 1 species